GGAACGGUGGCCGAGUGGCUGAAGGCGCACCCCUGCUAAGGGUGUAUACGUUAACCCGUAUCGAGGGUUCGAAUCCCUCCCGUUCCGCCA
rnacentral:tRNA from 1 species